rnacentral:misc_RNA from 1 species
AGUUCACUUCUUCUGUCCUCAUCGUCAAGAUAAUAAACAACCUUGUAUUUAUGUAACUACUGCUUUAUUGACCUCCUCACUCAGUUUAAUAGUAUUCGAAUUGGGGANNNNUGGGGAAAUGUUUGAAUCUCCCUCGAAUGGACUUCCUCCAAUCGGGUAAUUCUUGGGUCAGUGAAGAUACUGAAACUCUGAAAGAGAACGACUUGGAAAGAAGGAAGCGAGGAAGAGGUGUAAGUAGCUAUUACGACUCCUGCAGUUCAAUCUAAACAGAUAACAACUGUAACGGCUUGAAAGUAGUGGCUGGUGAAUGGAAACGUCGGGAAUAGAGAGGGAGAACGCCAAAGGUGACCGACAAUGAUGG